rnacentral:rRNA from 1 species
UACAGAGGUCCCAAGCGUUGUUCGGAUUCACUGGGCGUAAAGGGUGCGUAGGUGGUCAGGUAAGUCUGAUGUGAAAUCUCUGGGCUCAACCCAGAAACUGCAUUGGAUACUAUCUGGCUAGAGGAGUGGAGGGGGGACUGGAAUACUUGGUGUAGCAGUGAAAUGCGCAGAUAUCAGGAGGAACACCGGUGGCGAAGGCGGUUCUCUGGGCAUUCCCUGACGCUGAGGAGCGAAAGUGUGGGGAGCGAACAGG